rnacentral:rRNA from 1 species
ACGCUCGACACCUACGGGAGGGCAGCAGUGGGGAAUAUUGCACAAUGGGGGAAACCCUGAUGCAGCGACGCCGCGUGAGUGAAGAAGUAUUUCGGUAUGUAAAGCUCUAUCAGCAGGGAAGAAAAUGACGGUACCUGAGUAAGAAGCCCCGGCUAACUACGUGUCAGCAGCCGCGGUAAUCUGAGCGGGCUGGCAAGGC